rnacentral:pre_miRNA from 1 species
CCUGGGAAUUGUAGUCGAGGCGGGGGGGCUUCACGGCGGCUGGACUACAACUCCCAGCAG